CUUUUGGUGGUCCUCUGAAGAUGGAAACUGUGAUAGACAGAACUCUGCUUCCUGAAGAGAAACUACGUAUUGAGUAUGCAUGAUCUGUGUGCCCGGAUGUCAUCUUUACCUGCUUUGUUCUGUGUCUUGUCAAAGAGGAUUGCUUUGGGGAGCAGUGUGUCUGUACACUCUGGAUGAACCCCUCUGAAGCAGGAGAGCCAGCACACUGGACCCAGCUGAUUCUAAGGAGCAGAGUGGAUGGCCCGUUACACCUAGAACCCUUGGCAUCCAAAUUGUCAGCAACUCAUCGGCUAGUGUUUCUUUCUUGAAGGGCGAAGUCUCAAUCCUCAGAUGUUCUAAGAGCUGAGGCAACUGAAGUUCAGAGAAGUUUGGUCAUUUGCCCAGGACCACACAGCUAGUAAGUAAUAGAAUUGAAUAGUGCUCUCUCACUCUCUCUCUCUCAAGUCAGGGUUUUCAGUUUUGAUCAAUAGUGGACAUAAAUUUCAGCAUUGAGAAUGAUUAUGUCUUGUUUAGUUGCUUUAGCUACAUGAUGGAAAGACUGACCACAGUCUACCUCCUAGAGUUCCCAGAAGUAAAUGGGAUUAUGCAUGUGACUGUGAUCUGAGCACAGAGGUACCUAUACUAGGCAAAAAUAAGGUAUUCAUUUUAUAAUGGUAGUUUUGUAUUAAUAGCUUCCAAUUCCAUAACUAGCCUAGGAUGCAUGUUUUAAGAGAUGCAUGUUUUAAUACUUUUAGUGAUGCAAUAAUGGAAUCUUGAAAUACAUUUGCAGAAUCAGUGCUGUGGCCCCAAAGGGAAGCAAAGCAACCUAGUUUUAUGGUUCAUCUAAGGACCAAGAUGAAGUAGUUUUGCAAGAAGUCCUCCUUUUGCCAUUAGCUCUCGUUAGCUGAAUUUAAAUUUCAGUAGUGAUAAUACACAAUUCUUCAACUACAUAUAGAUUCUGUUUCUAUAAAAGGAAAAAAAAAAAAUCCGUAAAUGUAAUCAUUUCUCCCUUGUCAGCUAAUGUAACAUAGUAGUAACUAUAAAACAGUUUUCUUUAGGUGCUUUUGUGUGAUUUAUUCCUCCUGGCAUGGAUGGGGAUAUGAGCAGCAUUUUGUUUCAAUAGAGCUUUUCUGUAGCUUUUAACCAGUUACAAAGGGCGUCUGUCUAUACCUGGACACAAUCCUGCAAUAGAAAUGAAACAGGCUUUUAAGGAUUGAAAAAAAGGAAAAUAGAAGGCCGGGGCAAAUUGUCGUUUCAUCGUUUUGUGAAGCAAAUAUUAUAUAUCUGGGAAAAAGAUUUUUUAAAAGUAUAUAAUUUAGGAGUGUCUAAAGGUGUUUUGUUAGGUCAAUUGUGUAUCAGAAGUAUAAAAGGAAGGGCUUAUGGAUCUUUAAAUGUCCCCUAGAUAAGUGAGCUUAAUCUAUUUCAAAUUAUACUUCCCACUCUCUGAUCUGAGACAAGGGCUUUCUGUCUUGCUUUCAGUAUUUAAAAUCUGAAAUAAUAUAGACUCGACUACCCAGGGAGCUGCCUCUUGGCCUGGUGCUUUGUCACCACAAUUGAGAUGGGCAGGUUGGAAGCAGCGGCGUGCUCACAAAAGUGGGAGGUAGUGUUGUCUGCCUUUUUUCCAGAGGCUGGCUGGCACAGUACUCCCCUUGAGUUUCUGCCAAGGCACAUCACUAAGUAAGAAGGAGGUAAAAUAAGGAUAAGAUUUAACUGCUUCUUUCCAGGGAAGCUUGGAGACAGUAUCACUUCCUUUUUUUAAAGUUGGAGGCAGUUUUAUUUGUUUGGGUAAAUCCCGUGGGACAUGAAUAAGUAAAGUUAUCAACUGACGUGCUUCAGAGGCUGAAAAUAGAUCCCAGAACAUGAUUUCCUUUUUAUUUAUCAACCAUAUAUAUUGAUUCCUGGUUUUCUUCUCAUAGGCUCCCAGAUUGGGGGAGUCAGAGAUAAUAAUAACUAAAAAGAACUGAUCUUUUUUAGUUUGCUUGUUUUUGGGAGUUACCUCCCCAACAUUUUGUUUAAAAAAAUUUCAAACCUACAGUAUAAUAAACAUUUUUCACAUUUGCUUUCUCUCUCAUUUUUUCUUUUUUCUUUUUUUGGCUGAAAGUUUGAAAGUAAGAUUCAUGCAGAGUCAUGAUACUUUCUCUCAAAACGUUUGAACAUACAUCUCCUAAGAACAAAGAUAUUACCCUAUCAUUAUCAUAUCCAAGGUAUUUAACAUUGAUACAAUAGUAUAUUGUAACAUGCAGUCCAAUUUCAAAUUUCCCACAGUUGUCCCAAUAAUGUUUUUUAUAGUCAUUCUUCUGUUAAAUCCAAGAUCCAAGGAAGGAUAACACAUUGUGUUUGCUUCUCUUGUCUCUUUAGUCUCUGUCCAUCUAGAACAGCUCUUCCUUGCCAUUUUGUUGUUUGCAACAUUAAUAUUUUCGAAGACUCCAGGACAGAUGUCCUAGAGAAAGUUCUACAGUUUGAAUUUGUCUGAUACAAUUCCACCAAGAAUGUUUAGUCAGACAACUGUGUUCAAAACCUACUUAAUUAUUUC
rnacentral:lncRNA from 1 species